rnacentral:rRNA from 1 species
GCAGCCUGAUGCAGCAACGCCGCGUGAGGGACGACGGCCUUCGGGUUGUAAACCUCUUUUAGCAGGGAAGAAGCGAAAGUGACGGUACCUGCAGAAAAAGCACCGGCUAACUACGUGCCAGCAGCCGCGGUAAUACGUAGGGUGCAAGCGUUAUCCGGAAUUAUUGGGCGUAAAGAGCUCGUAGGCGGUUUGUCGCGUCUGCUGUGAAAACCCGAGGCUCAACCUCGGGCCUGCAGUGGGUACGGGCAGACUAGAGUGCGGUAGGGGAGAUUGGAAUUCCUGGUGUAGCGGUGGAAUGCGCAGAUAUCAGGAGGAACACCGAUGGCGAAGGCAGAUCUCUGGGCCGUAACUGACGCUGAGGAGCGAAAGGGUGGGGAGCAAACAGGCUUAGAUACCCUGGUAGUCCACCCCGUAAACGUUGGGAACUAGUUGUGGGGUCCAUUCCACGGAUUCCGUGACGCAGCUAACGCAUUAAGUUCCCCGCCUGGGGAGUACGGCCGCAAGGCUAAAACUCAAAGGAAUUGACGGGGACCCGCACAAGCGGCGGAGCAUGCGGAUUAAUUCGAUGCAACGCGAAGAACCUUACCAAGGCUUGACAUAUACGAGAACGCUGCAGAAAUGUAGAACUCUUUGGAC